rnacentral:rRNA from 1 species
CCCGUGUGAAGCCCUUUCGACGAGUCGAGUUGUUUGGGAAUGCAGCUCUAAAUGGGUGGUAAAUUUCAUCUAAAGCUAAAUACCUGCCGGAGACCGAUAGCGCACAAGUAGAGUGAUCGAAAGAUGAAAAGCACUUUGAAAAGAGAGUCAAACAGUACGUGAAAUUGUUGAAAGGGAAGCGCUUGCAACCAGACUCGUCCGCGGGGGCUCAGCCGUUCUUCGGGGCGGUGCACUCCCCCGCGGUCGGGCCAGCAUCUUCCGGCGGCCGGACAAAGGCCUUGGGAAAG